CCUACGGGAGGCAGCAGUGGGGAAUAUUGCACAAUGGGGGAAACCCUGAUGCAGCGACGCCGCGUGAGUGAAGAAGUAAUUCGUUAUGUAAAGCUCUAUCAGCAGGGAAGAAAAUGACGGUACCUGAGCAAGAAGCCACGGCUAACUACGUGCAAGCAGCCGCGUUAAGAGGUAGGGGGCAAGCGUUACCCGGAUUUGCGGGGUGUAAGGGGAGCGUAGACGGCAGUGCAGGUCUGGAGGAAAAGGCUGGGGCUCAACCGCUGGACUGCUCUGGAAACUGUACGGCUGGAGUGCAGGUGAGGUAAGUGGAAUUCCUGGUGUAGCGGUGAAAUGCGUAGAUAUUACGAGGAACACCAGUUGCGAAGGCGUCUUACUGGACUGUAACUGACGUUGAGGCUCGAAAGCGUGGGGAUCAAACAGGAUUAGAUACCCCUGUAGUC
rnacentral:rRNA from 1 species